GCCUUGGUGGUGAAACGGUAGACACGCGAGACUCAAAAUCUCGUGCUCAAGAGCGUGGAGGUUCGAGUCCUCUUCAAGGCA
rnacentral:tRNA from 3 species